rnacentral:piRNA from 1 species
UACUGCCAGGUGUCCCUACCU